CCUACGGGAGUCAGCAGUGAGGACUAUUGGUCAAUGGACGAGAGUCUGAACCAGCCAAGUAGCGUGAAGGAUGACUGCCCUAUGGGUUGUAAACUUCUUUUAUAAAGGAAUAAAACGAGGCACGUGUGCCUUUUUGCAUGUACUUUAUGAAUAAGGAUCGGCUAACUCCGUGCCAGCAGCCGCGGUAAUACGGAGGAUCCGAGCGUUAUCCGGAUUUAUUGGGUUUAAAGGGAGCGUAGAUGGGUUGUUAAGUCAGUUGUGAAAGUUUGCGGCUCAACCGUAAAAUUGCAAUUGAUACAGGCAGUCGUGAGUACAGUUGAGGUAGGCGGAAUUCGUGGUGUAGCGGUGAAAUGCUUAGAUAUCACGAAGAACCCCGAUUGCGAAGGCAGCUUACUAAACUGUGACUGACAUUGAUGCUCGAAAGUGUGGGUAUCAAACAGGAUUAGAUACCCUGGUAGUC
rnacentral:rRNA from 1 species